rnacentral:rRNA from 1 species
AUUGAACGCUGGCGGCAGGCCUAACACAUGCAAGUCGAACGAGUGGCGGACGGGUGUGUCAUGUCUGGGAAACUGCCUGAUGGAGGGGGAUAACUACUGGAAACGGUAGCUAAUACCGCAUACCAUCAGAUGUGCCCAGGUGGGCUUGGCUUGUUUGUGGGGUAACGGCGCCCCAAGGCGACGAUCCCUAGCUGGUCUGGGAGGAUAUCCCGCCUCACCGGAACUAAGACACGGUCCAGACUCCUCCGGGAGUCAGCAGUGGGGAAUAUUGCACUAUGGGCUCAAGCCUGAUGCAGCCAGGCCGCGUGUAUGAAGAAGGCCUUCGGGUUGUAAAGUACUUUCAGCGGGGAGGCGUUACCCGCAGAAGAAGCACCGGCUAACUCCGUGCCAGCAGCCGCGGUAAUAC